GUCUAAUUCUAAAAAAGUCCUGCUAUCUUAAAAAUUCAAAUUUAAUUUAAAACUAGAGAUCACUAGACCAAAUGAUACCCGUAUCCCAACUUUUCCGUUCUUUUUACCAGAUAUUUGUUUCACUCACACGGUUAAAAUCAGAAGGCUAUUAUAUUUGUAAAUGGAAUUAAAAAAUUAAAAGUGUGCUUAAAUAUUAUCACCUUUUUUUUUUUAAAUGGUAUUCAGCGCUAGAUAUAACUGUUUAAACCAAUACUAAAAAAUAAUUAUGUAACAUACAUGGAUUAG
rnacentral:lncRNA from 1 species